rnacentral:rRNA from 1 species
AACGCUGGCGGCAGGCUUAACACAUGCAAGUCGAGCGGGCGUAGCAAUACGUCUGCGGCAGACGGGUUAGUAACGCGUGGGAACGUACCUUUCGGUUCGGGAUAAGCCAGGGAAACUUGGUCUAAUACCGAAUACGCCCUUACGGGGAAAGAUUUAUUGCCGAAAGAUCGGCCCGCGUCUGAUUAGCUAGUUGGUGAGGUAAAAGCUCACCAAGGCAACAAUCAGUAGCUGGUCUGAGAGGAUAAUCAGCCACAUUGGGACUGAAACACGGCCCAAACUCCUACGGGAGGCAGCAGUGGGGAAUAUUGGACAAUGGGCGCAAGCCUGAUCCAGCCAUGCCGCGUGAGUNAUGAAGGCCCUAGGGUUGUAAAGCUCUUUUGUGCGGGAAGAUAAUGACGGUACCGCAAGAAUAAGCCCCGGCUAACUUCGUGCCAGCAGCCGCGGUAAUACGAAGGGGGCUAGCGUUGCUCGGAAUCACUGGGCGUAAAGGGUGCGUAGGCGGGUCUUUAAGUCAGAGGUGAAAGCCUGGAGCUCAACUCCAGAACUGCCUUUGAUACUGAGGAUCUCGAGUUCGGGAGAGGUGAGUGGAACUGCGAGUGUAGAGGUGAAAUUCGUAGAUAUUCGCAAGAACACCAGUGGCGAAGGCGGCUCACUGGCCCGAUACUGACGCUGAGGCACGAAAGCGUGGGGGGCAAACAGGAUUAGAUACCCUGGUAGUCCACGCCGUAAACGAUGAAUGCCAGCCGUUGGGGAGUUUACUCUUCAGUGGCGCAGUUAACGCUUUAAGCAUUCCGCCUGGGGAGUACGGUCGCAAGAUUAAAACUCAAAGGAAUUGACGG